rnacentral:lncRNA from 1 species
GUGGGGGUGUGGUCAUUAGUAAGUUUUCUCUUUGUUAUAGCUCCGGGGCCUUGUCUUUAUGGAGUAUCCCAGUUAAAUAUUUCGACAUCUUAUAUCCUUGAAACAAUGCAGACUUCCAUUUUAAUGCAUAUUAAAUGAGAACUUUAUUUUAUAUAGAUCAGACCAUUUCAUUUAAAUAUGUUAUGCCAAAUAUGCAAGAAAAGUCG